AUUGAACGCUGGCGGCAGGCCUAACACAUGCAAGUCGAGCGAGCGGCGGACGGGUGAGUAAUGUAUGGGGAACUGCCCGAUAGAGGGGGAUAACUACUGGAAACGGUAGCUAAUACCGCAUACCAUCAGAUGAACCCAUAUGGGAUUAGCUGGUAGGUGAGGUAACGGCUCACCUAGGCGACGAUCCCUAGCUGGUCUGAGAGGAUGAUCAGCCACACUGGGACUGAGACACGGCCCAUACUCCGCCGGGAGGCAGCAGUGGGGAAUAGUGCACAAUGGGCGCAAGCCUGAUGCAGCCAUGCCGCGUGUAUGAAGAAGGCCGUCGGGUUGUAAAGUACGUUCAGUCGGGAGGCGUUACCGGCAGAAGAAGCACCGGCUAACUCCGUGCCAGCAGCCGCGGUAAUUC
rnacentral:rRNA from 1 species